rnacentral:misc_RNA from 1 species
GUUCUGAAUUGAGAGGAAAAAUCUAUGGCAACUUACUACUCUAGUUCGAAUAACGAAAGGGAUGCUACUCCCAUCCUCUAUUCAAGGGGAUCUUUGCUCGGUUCGUAUGAAGAAACAACAGUUCUUCCACGGAAUAUGAUGAUGCAUGUAAAUUCUGGGACAUACAUGGAUUCAUUGCCUUCGCAGGCGCAAAAUGGUUGUGGUCAGAUAACGUCCGUUGGAGCAGUGGGAACUACCCAACAGCAGCAAGAGUUUUUAUCGAAUCUUGGUGGUUCGCAAAUUGCUGAGCAUGAUUUCAAUACAUGGAGAGAGAACCGGAGUGAAAUGCUUGGCACAAACUCGAUGCGUGGCCCUACCAAUGUUCUUCAUGGUGGGCAUAAUUUGCAGGGUCAGGGGUUAUCCCUUACU